CUAUCUGCGGGGUCCUUCACAGGGGGCCACGUGGGCUCUGGGCUCAUCGUCCAUGCUCUCCCUGGAUUCUCGGCUGAGCUGGAGAGGUCCAGGCUGUGACUGGUCCCGUUUACAGAGGUCAAGGAGUUGCCCAUGGAGCCUGAGAGUGGCCGAGUAGCAAGAGCGCUGUCCUGCUGACGGCUGCCCUCCAUGGACGCUCCUCCUGGCGGCAGGGCCUCGGCCCUAGACAGGCCAUCACUGCAGGGCAUGUUCCUGGGAUCUGUCCCACAGAGGGUCCCUGCCCCCUGCCUCAGGCAGAGGGUGACGCUGGCUGUGGAAACCUGGGCAUAGGCCCACCUUCCCUUCUUCAGGGGUCCCCUGUGUCCCCUGGGAGCCAGGUCUAGAUUAGGCUCCUCCACACACACUCCCUGGAAGGCGGGUCCAGGUUGUCCCCCCCGCUAGGAGCUUGGACCAGCUUCCCCAGCUUGGACCAUGGCCGAGGGUGUGCGUGUUGGAGAGACCAGAAGAUGUCCCAAGGAGGGCAAGGCCUGGGGACCGCAGGGGCGCCUGGAGUGGCUGUGGUGGCCUUCCUGGAGUCUGCUGGGGCCUCCCCUCUCUCCUCCCACCCUCCCCUUCCCUCUCUCUUCCCCCAGGAGACUGCUCGGCCCCACCUGGGUCCAGAGAGACUGGCUAGAAUCCUGACCUGGCCUCCCCUAGCAGUCCCCUAGCCGUGGGACGUGGGCCACGCCACUCUUUCUCUGAGCCUCGGCUUCCUUGUCCACCAACCCAGAAGCGUGAGCAUCAUGGCAGCCACAUUUUGGGGUGGCUGGAGAUGAAGGCAGCGUGUCUGUAGAGGCCUCGUUCUGACAUUUAGCCGCCAUUGAAUAGGUCACGGCUGUUGCUAUCCGGUCCUUGCUGGCAUUUAUGUCCAGCCCACAGGAGGGGCCUGUGGUGCCUUCCCCAGGAGCACGGCAGGGGGCAGCAGAGCCCCUCCUUGGCGGCCAGGUGCUCGCUCUUCUGGGUAGGCAGAGCUUCACCCCGUGGGUGAGCCUGGACUUGAGGGUGGAGCCCUGGAGGACUUCAGACCUGCCAUCACGUCAGCACUUGGGUCCUGAGCACCCAGCUGUGUCCCCACCACUGGGAAGAGGCAGAAGCGGAGGCAUGGGGCUCCCUCCCGCCAGCCCUCCUGGCCCCCCAGGGCUCUCAGCUCCCUCCUCUUCCACCCUUCCUUUCCUCCUCCUUCCUCUCAGCUCCAUGCAGUGCACACCUGCUGUGCCCCGUGCCCCGUGCCCCGUGCCCCACGCUAGGGACCUGAGACAGGGAACAGCACCGCAGCUGUGCCCUCUGGAACCUCCCGACUCAAGCAGAGAAGAUAAUAAGCAAAUGGAUAAAAGAGAGAAGAAAGAGCCCUAUGGAUCCUGGCAGCCCAGACCAAUCAGAACAGUGGAUGAGAAAAUUGAGGGGACACAGCCAACGUGGGGGCUUCGGGGUCCUGGGAGGCCAAGGGAAGGAGACGGAACAAGAAAAAGCCACACUUCGGUGGCCUGUCGGGGUGCUGGCACCCCCCUGGGUCACUCGGUGUUAUUUAAUGUGAAUCAUCCUCAUCACUGAGAGGACUUCAGAAGGAAUGGAAUCGGGGUCUCACAGGGAGGUGACCUGCCCGAGGUCAUAGUCAGCAAGUGGCAGACCUGAGACGGAACCCAGGUCUCCCAAGUUGGCAGGUGUGUCCCUGUGCCCCAAAGCCUGGAGUCCCCCGGGGCCUGCGGGUCCCUGCUGCAGCUCCCAAGGAACCCUGAGCCCACCCACCGGAGGCCCAGCUGCAUCUCACCAGGCCCUGCCCACUGCCCACUGCCCUACUCCCAGGAACCCUGUCACCUCUCCCUGGUGGCUCGACCCCGUUUCCUUCCCUCAUGAUGCUGUGACAACCUGAGGUUACUGUUUACUUGGGUGGGUUGUCUCCCCCACCAGAGUGCACCCCAGCCCCAGGGAACCCCAGCCUCAGGCCUCAGCCCGAGCCCCACAGCCCGCACAUGCCACCCUGACAGGUCAUUCAUCCUCCUUCCUGUCCCCGAGCCUGGCCCUGGGCAUGGUGCAGAGGAAGGGCUCAGUGAAGGUGGACGGAUGGAGGGACAGGUGAUGGGCAGAUGAAGGAUGGAUGGAUGGAUGAAAGACUAUUGGCCUGAGCUUGUGCUGGCCCUGUGACCCACAGGAAGGUCAGAGAAGAGACAGCAGUGGGGGCCCAGGCAGCGGGUCCUCCUGUGGGGGGCAUCCAGGGCAGGGGCCGUGUCAGGGCCAAGGACCAGGCCGACAGCCAUUCUGGCCACACCCCAUCACACGUGCAGAGCCAGUAUGGGGGGACCCCAGGGUGCGACCCCGGGAGCGUCUCCUGGACAGAGCAGGGACAGGCUGGAAUCCUCGGGGCUGGAGCAGGAGACCGAGCUCACCAAGGGUUGGCCUGGGCAGGCAGCUAUGGGACCUGAGCCCAGGCAGGGCCCUGGACAAGGCUGCUGGCCCUCUCUGGGACACCAUGAUUGGCUUCAGCGGGGUCCUCAAGCCUCUGGGACACUGCCUGCGGUGCUUCCAGAAGACACACAUCAGCCAGAAAUGGCAGAGCUAGGCUAGGGGCCUGGAGGGAGGUGACUCAGGGCCCUGGUCUUUGCUUAGUGUGACGGGCGGUGCCUCUUUCUUGGAAGUCAGGCUCACAGGUGGCUCCAGGUGGAGGUAGGGGGUCAAAUGCCUCUGGAGGGAGGGUGGAGUUGAGGGACCAGACCCACUGCAGGCGCCAGGCCUGUGCCUCUGAGCUGGCCGCCAGCACCUGGUGGGACCUUCCCAAGCGCAGUCUGACAUGCCAGGCUGUUCGUGGGUGCUUCGGCCGCUUCCUGUGGUUCAGGGUCCCACGCCAGACCUGGACUUGGCCCCCGUCCCUUCACCUAUGACACCUACCCACCUCUCCAGUCCUGCGUCCCUCAGCCCCCUGCCCAGCCCCUCACCCUCUGCCACCUGACAUGCGCAGCUUUUCCUGAACAGACAGACCACCUCCUCUCUAAGGUCCCUGCUCCGCCAUGCGCUGCGUGCCUGCGUGGGGUCACCUUCCCAGGACACUGCUCCCAUGCUUCCCCUGCUGGACUGAAGGCCUGGCUCUGGCCCCACGGCCUCAGGUGGUGGGUCAGCCCCAGCCUGGCCGCUCCCAUCACAAGCUGAGCCGGCCACCGGGUGACCCACUCCAGGAGGCCUGGCAGGGGCUUGCGCACGGGCACCCGGCUAGAGGAGGGCAGGGGCGCCUCCUGGGGGAGCCUGGGCUGGAAUCCAGAGUCCCAGGUGGAGAAAACGUGGGAGCAGCCAGCCUCAGAAGCAGCUAAUGAGGGCUGCGAGACCCAUGUCCUGUCCACCCACCCCAAGUCCACGUCAGCCUGCGCUGCCAAGGCGGCCAUGGCCCGCCGUCCCUCCCAGCGGCCGACAUUGCAACACCAUUCAGGAAUCCAUGGGUAGUUGUUCUGAUUGGACAUUCUGGGUCACAUGACUGGGAGGACAGCAUUGAAGGCGGGUUGCACCCAGCAGAGCUCGACCUUGGCCUUGAGAGGGGUGGUUUCAAGGCAGCCCCCAGGCAGGCAGCUGCCAAGGAGAGGGGUGACCUCCAGGACCUGUGUUCACACUCUGCCCUGCUCUGAGCGGUGUGGCCUCGCGGCCUCGCGUGGGCCUCCACUCUUGCCUUACGCCACCAGAGGCUCACGUGGACUUGGACCCUCACAGCACACCAGGCACUUGAGCCGUCCCAGACCCACCUGAGACCCUGCCAGCUCCUUUCCUCUCUGGGCCUCAGUGUUCCCCUCACAAAAGGGGUGUGACCAAAAGCACUGAUUCCAGAGUUUCGCAUCUCAACUGUGCAAACUGGGGCACUACAUAGACUUCUCUGGGCCUCAGUCCCCUCACCUGUAUAACAGAUCAUAAAGUUUCCACCCCAUAGAAUCAUUGCAAAAAUUCCAACGAGUCAAAUGGGUAUAAAACACGUGGCUCGAGGCUGGCACAAAGUAAAGCUUAUUGAGUUGGAUAAAUAAAAGCAGAGCGUGGUUACCCCCCAACUCGGCCAUCAAACUGUGGCAAUUUGAUGAUUUUUGCGAAAUCUGGAGAACACUCGUUCCAAAACGUAAUCCCUGUUGUUCAUUGGUUCAGUGACUAAACAGAUCCUGGAAGGAAAUGUUAGACUCGCCACCCCAAGUGGAAAACCGGAGUCACUUCCCACGGGGAGAAGGUCGUUAUGAAGAUGAACACAGCCAAUGUUCACCGUGCGUGGGGCUGUCUGCCAAGCAGCCGCCAGCGUCAACUCGCUCGUCCCCACGGCAACCCUGUGAGAGGGACACCACUCUAUCAUCGUCACGUAUGUGGGGAAACUGAGGCAGAGCUGUCGGAAGUCACUUGACAGGUCCCAGAUGGAAAGCAGCAGGCCCCAAGACACAGCUGGAGCAGAGGAACGCACAGAACUCCCCAGGGAGACGGACACGUGGAGAGGCAGGGGGGCCACAGCAGCACCAGCCCGAGACGUCCCCUUGGAUGGUCAGAGGACCAAGGAGACCCAGAAGAAUGACGUUCUCACUGUGUGAUUUGCUGCUCUUUAAGGCCAUGCCUGCGCCAGACGACUCUGCAGCAUGCAGGCUACGCCUCUGAAGCAGGAGGGGACCCAGAAGCACUGACCAUUUCUACCUCCCCUCCCUGGCAUUUUUAGCUUAGGACACUGUCCAAACUCAAGGCGAGUCAAUGAGGGGAUUAAGAAAGGCUUUAGUGCCCAUUGAUAAAAAUGGGCAAAAUCCUGGAAUUAAAUACACCCGUGUAUCACUUAGUAACAGGGAUGCAUCCUGAGAAAAGUAGUCGUAAGUGAUCGAGUGGAUGCUGGAACAUCAGAGUGUGUGCUCACGUAAACUAAGACAGCUCUGACAUCACCAGGCUGCUAGCUUUCCAGUACUGUAACAAAAUACCUGAGUUGAUCAACUAAAAAAGAGAAAAGGUUUUUGGCUCACAGUUUGGGUGGUGUCAGCUCACUGUCAGGGAGACCUGUUGCUUUGGGGCCUGGGUGAGGCAGCACGUCAUGGCAGGGAGCAUGUGCAGAGCAGGCUGCUCACAAGAUGUGGGAGACAGAGAAAGAGAAAUGCUGUGGCAUCUCAUGAUCCCCUUGGAGGGCCUGAGACCACCCCCUAGGCGUCCCUCUUAAAGCCCCACCACCACCCUGUGGCACCAAGCUGGGGACCAAACCAUUGCCACCAGGGGACACUUACCAAACAAUAGCACUGAGCAAGACAGCAGAUACAUCACUGUGGUGGGGAUCAGGGCUGCCACCAAGGGAAAAGCACACAGGGAAGGGGACGGUGGGGAGCCCAGGCUGGGACCUGAGUGGACAUUUGCUCUCAUGGCUUAAAUACACUGGAGCACCCGCGAGGGCUGAGCUCCGGCUCCGUCUGCUGCGACGACCUGGAACCUCUGUCACCCAGCAUCAGGGAGCCCACCGGCCCCCCAACCCCACUUCCUCAAUAUCUCUGCCCCAGUGAGCAGGGCACUCUGGGAAGUGGACAGUCCCGAGGCCAACGCAGGACACACAGGGACGCCGCGAGCUUCAGUAUGGGCAGAACCUAAGGAGGUGGCCAGAGAAGGCCAGGGGUGCAGUGGAGACACCAGGGCCAGCUGGAGCAGCCUGAGCGCCGAGGGGCACGGAGCUUGGCCACCUGAGUGGAUCAGAGCACAGGGUGUCACACAGGACCCGCAGACGCAGCCCGGUGACAGAGAAUGAAAGCAGGGAGAGGAAGGAAGGAGGAGCCGGAGGAGGGGGGAGCCCGGGAGAAGCUCCUCCUGCUGAAGGGAAAGAAGACCCGGGUCUGUCCCAAGGCCACCGACCACAGGCAAAGCCAGCCUCUGACCUCCGGGAUGCGGGAUGGCAGUCGGUAUGUUUAUCAGAAAAUCUUUUUUUAUUUGUCUGCAGCACCUCAGUCUGGUCUCGGGGAAGCAACCUGACCAACGUCCCCAAGGCUGUGCCACCAACCAGGAAGCUGUGCCACCAACCAGGCAGCUGUGCCCUGCAGAGGUGUCAAGGUCAUGCCACAGGAAGGGGCAGAGGACGCAGCUAUCUGUUCACAGAGAAAAGAAAGCAGCGCUGAGGAGCAGCUCUAUCCUGGGCAGGGCCCUGGGGGCAAGAUGAAGGCUGCUGAGGGGCAACCCAGCGCCCACGCAGGCCACCCGGCAUCGGGACUGCGUCACCAGCUGGGAUGGCUGCUCAGGGGUUCCGCUGAAGAGCCACGGGGCCCACAGAUGGCGCUCGAAGAGCCAUGCAGGAGUCCAUGUGCAGGAAAGAACAGGGUCAACACAGGAACCGCUGGCCCAUUUAGGGCAGGGCUCCCAAUCUGUCGCCACUGACAACGGACCAGAUCAAUAUUUGAUUAAUGUCACUAGUUUUUAUUAAUUAUUUUUUAAUUUGUUCUAAUUGGUCAUAAAUGACAGUGGAACGCACUUUGUCACCUGAUACAUAAAUGGAGCACAACUUCUCACUCUUCGGGUUGUACAUGCUCUAGAUUCACACGGGUCGUGUAGUCACAUAUGCACAUGGGUGAUAAUUGUCCCCUUCAUUAUACUGUCCUUCCUUCCCCCCACCUCCUCCCCUCUGCCUAACCCAACGUACCUCUGCUCUUCCCUAGCCACCCCCCUCCUUAUUGUGAAUUAGCAUCUGCAUGUCAGAGAAAACAUUCAGCCUUCGGGUUUGGGGGAUUGGUUUAUUUCACUUAGCAUGAUACUCUCCAGCUCCAUCCAUUUACCGGCAAAGGCCAUAAUUCCAUUCUUCUUUAAGGCUGAGUAGUAUUCCGUUGUGUACAUACACCACAUUUUCUUUAUCCAUUCAUCUGUUGAAGGGUAUCUAGGUUGGUUCUAUGGUUCAGCUAUUGUGAAUUGAGUUGCUAUAAACAUUGAUGUGGCUGCGUCA